AACGAACGCUGGCGGCAGGCCUAACACAUGCAAGUCGAGCGCGCCCUUCGGGGUGAGCGGCGGACGGGUGAGUAACGCGUGGGAACGUGCCCUUUGGUUCGGAAUAGCCCUGGGAAACUGGGAGUAAUACCGGGCGACGUAGCGGGGCGGCAUCGUUCUGCUACCAAAUGAAUUUCGCCCUGAGAGGGGCCCAUGUGAUAUUAGCUAGUUGGUGAGGUAACGGCUCACCAAGGCGAAGAUGUCUAGCGGGUGUGAGAGCACGACCCGCGCCACUGGCACUGAGACACUGGCCAGACACCUACGGGUGGCUGCAGUCGAGGAUCUUCGGCAAUGAGCGAAAGCUUGACCGAGCGACGCCGCGUGUGCGAUGAAGGCCUUCGGUUGUAAAGCACUGUCGAGAGGGAGAAAGGGAAACUUGAUCUAUCUCUGGAGGAAGCACGGGCUAAGUUCGUGCCAGCAGCCGCGGUAAU
rnacentral:rRNA from 1 species